UACGGGGGGAGCAAGCGUUGUUCGGAUUUACUGGGCGUAAAGGGCGCGUAGGCGGCACCGCAAGUCGACUGUGAAAUCUCCGGGCUUAACCCGGAAAGGUCAGCCGAUACUGCGGGGCUAGAGUGCAGAAGGGGCAACUGGAAUUCUCGGUGUAGCGGUGAAAUGCGUAGAUAUCGAGAGGAACACCUGCGGCGAAGGCGGGUUGCUGGGCUGGCACUGACGCUGAUGCGCGAAAGCGAGGGGAGCGAACAGG
rnacentral:rRNA from 1 species